rnacentral:misc_RNA from 1 species
UGUUCGAUUAUUUGAAAUUUAACGGAUUGUAGUUUAUUAGGUUUUUUCGUUUAUGGGAUUUUUUAGGUAAGAGUAUUGGAGUGGGGUGUUAUUGUUUUUUUUAUUUUAGAGGGUAGAUAGUUAAUAAAAUGUUUGUUGGUGAGGGUAAUUAUUUUGAAUAAGUUAUUUAAAUAUUUUGGGUUUUAUUUUUUUUAUUUAGAAAAUGAUAAUAUGUAAAUUUUUUUUUUAUUUUAAAAUAUUAUGUGAGAUUAUAUA